rnacentral:rRNA from 1 species
UACGUAGGUGACCAGCGUUGUCCGGAUUUACUGGGCGUAAAGAGCGAGCAGGCGGUCGUUCAAGUCGAGUGUGAAAGCCCCCGGCUCAACUGGGGAGGGUCACUCGAUACUGAUCGACUGGAAGGCAGGAGAGGGAAGCGGAAUUCCCGGUGUAGUGGUGAAAUGCGUAGAUAUCGUAAGGAAGACCAGUGGCGAAGGCGGGUCUCUGGACAGUUCCUGACGCUGAGGCACGAAGGCCAGGGGAGCAAACGGG